CCCUUAGAUGUUCUGGGCCGCACGCGCGCUACAAUGAUGAAUUCAACGAGUUUAUAACCUUGGUUGAAAAGCCUGGGUAAUCUUUUGAACUUUCGUCGUGAUGGGGCUAGACCCUUGCAAUUAUUGGUAUCCAACGAGGAAUUCCUAGUAAACGCAAGUCAUCAGCUUGCAUUGAUUACGUCCCUGCCCUUUGUACACACCGCCCGUCGCACCUACCGAUUGAAUGGUCCGGUGAAAUCUUCGGAUUGAGACUUUGAUUUCUUCACGGAAAACGCUGUUUUAAAAAGUUGAUUAAACCUUACCAUUUAGAGGAAGGUGAAGUCGUAACA
rnacentral:rRNA from 1 species